GGGGCUGACCGGUAUUGACAGUAAGUGUAAAGAUCGGGCUCGCAUGCAGGCUGGAGUAUGUACGGCCUUGAAAGAUUCAUAUGAACCAUAAAUGGCGAAACUUCUUACGCCAUGGCUGCCUAAUCUAACCUACUAGGAUAGAUUGCUUAAAGGGUUGAGUCCGCCGUGGCGGAUUCCCCGGCCACAUCUCACCACCUGUGGUCUGAUCCGGGUGGAGUUGAGGUGUCGAUCAGGUCAGACUGCUGCUUGCGAUGCGAUUAAGCAAGCUUAAGACUCAGUCGCUAAGCUAGACUCAGGUGUGUCACCCAGCAUAGUCUAGUCGAAAAACCAACAGGUGACUAAGCAUGUAGACGGUACGGUGUUUCCUUAUCUGGACGCGAGUUCGAAUCUCGCCAGCUCCACCA
rnacentral:tmRNA from 1 species